AUAGCACCUAAUCAGCACAAAAAAAUGCGACGUAUUCAAGUCCUCGUACUUUUCUUUGCGUUCUUCAUAGUUAGUCGGAUUGCAAAUGCAGACGUAGUUCUUCGGCCAUGUACAACUACACAGGAUAUCAUUAACGCCGUUACUGAUGGGAACUCUAGUCACUAUCUGUUUUUUUAUGACCCGCUGGACGUCAACAGCCUAAAGGUUUAUAACACUCUGAGCGCUCUGAAGACGAAGCGCACGUUCAUCAUCGAUGCUCUUGAUGCUCGUGAGCCUCAGUCAUCGUGGAUGCGGUCAAGUUUUGAGGUUUUUUACGUGCCGAUGCUCUGCUACGUCAAGUGGAUGUCAAAUGGAAAAAGAAUGCUCGACAGACACCUUUCAAUGGAGUUUGGGUCGGCGUCACUGGCCCAGUUCCUUCAAAGGCAUUGAGAUGAUUUCUGGUUAUGGGCCUCCUGUUUUUGGGAGCACUUCUGGGCUUUCUUCCCCUGUUUUUGCGCCGCUUUGCGUGAUAAGCAAGCUACAACACCUCUUUUUCGAAUCAGGAAAGCUACAUUAGUAUACGCGGCAAACAUGAAAUAUGCACUGUUUCUUCUCGGUUUCAUUCCUAAAAGAGACCCGACCAUUUCUUCUCCAUUCGGGCGAAAGCUGUGUGUGGCUUGCACAGGUCUCCGUGUUCAUAUGUUUCGGUCCACCGGGUGGUGAAUGGCUCUGAGUAGGUCGUUUGGGAGAUAAAAGUACGCGACAGCUUUAUCUCCGUUGCUAUUCUUGAAGCUCCGUAGGUCUGUGCAGCCUCUGCGAUAUGGAAAAAAAAUCACCUUCUCUUCUCCGAUUUCUUUUCACUGCGCUUAUUUCAUGAAAG
rnacentral:misc_RNA from 1 species